rnacentral:lncRNA from 1 species
AUGCUCACAGAUCCUGAUGUUCCCCUUCUGUGUUUUCGUUGGAGCUGUGCAGUUAUGUCUUCAAUCAAAUGGAAAUAUGCUAACAACUGUCAUAAUUUCCACCUCAGAGGCUCCAGACAUGACAUACCUAUAAACGUAGUAUCAAGGAUGGUGGCUGGUGUGUGAAUGCUUUCAGAAGAAACACAGAAGAGAAAUCAAACCCAAAUGCCAUUCUUAGCACAUUACGAUGGGUGAGUCUCUCAAAUUGCUUCUGUUAAUUAUUCAUUAGAGGAACACACACACACACACUAAACCACUUAACUAUUUGAGGGUUCAUGUUACCUAGUUUAAAUCUGUAUCUGUCAAGUGUCUCACAGCAUGUUGGACAAAGCAGAGCUCAAAUAGUCUGCUAUAUUGUGUAACCUUACUUCCAGAAAUAAAAGAAAAGAUAGGCCACACACCAAGUAAUUGUGUGGACCUUUGAGGUCUGCCAUGUAUUAAUGAUAACUAGUUCUUCUGUGUUGAAGUCAUUGGCACUAUGCUAGGCACUCUGGAAGGAUACACAGUCAUUGGAUUUUUGUUCUCUAUCUCAAUUAUUUUAAAAUGUUAAUAGCAAGGAAAAACAUGCACAUGUGACAUUAGAAAAAAAUUAGAGACCAAAGGAGUGAGAGAGGAGACUAUCAGGGCAGUUUUCCUGAAAGACCUGUAGGUGGGCGUGCAUCAUCAGGCAUGGAUAAAAGCUUAGAGGGUGUAGUGGUGGCAGUGAGCAUGGGCUCUUUAGUGGGCAGCUGGCCUGAUUGAAUUGAGGACUAUGUGUAAGAAUCUUAUAGGUAAGGUAAAUAUAUAGCAUAUAUAUCAUAUAUGGUAUUAUCCAUUUGCUCAGAAUGUCCUUAGUCAAAUUCCAUUUCAGAGGCCUGAAACCCUGCAAUACUCACAGUAUAGUAAGUUUUUCUUCUCUAAUAUGAGAUUAGCAAAUUGUACUUCAAGCCAGUCUCAUCUGUGUGCUUGGUUUUCAGAAAAAUUAAUUUUGUAUCAUUGUUGCAAUUGGAAUAUAUAAUAUUCAUAAAGUGUCAUGCAAACUCUUUGUCCAAAAAUGGGACCAAACUACUUGUUUAAUUAAUGUGAAAGAUCAGGGAAGGAACUGCUGCUUAAAAAUAUUCCAUAUAAGAUUAUUGCGUUUGCUUGAUGCCAUCUCUGCUUAUCAUUUCUAAGGAGAUUAUAAAGAGUUCAUUUCUCCUACCUCAAUGAAGCAAUCAACUGAAGGCAAGCGUAGCCUACUCUCAAAGAGUUGGAGUAUCUAGUUAUUCUUGAACAUAUGAGAAAAUUGAUCAUCUUUAAAGCCCAGAGUCCAAUAUAGUGCUCUAAUGCCUAAAAAUCUUCAAAUGAUUUGACGAUGGGAUAACACUGGUCUCAGAUUUGUUCAAUUUCUAAAAAUACAGCUUCGUUGCCUGUUUUCCCCAGUGAGAAUUAGAGGUCAAGCUUAGAGAAGAGUUACUCCUAAUUUUGAUAGUGGUAUAAUUCAUAAUUCACAUGCAUUUCAUAUUUAUUUCCUACACAAUUCUAUGAGAUAAGUAAAAUGAUCACAAUCAUUCCUGCCCUUAGACAUGAAUAAGAAGGGCAUCUCCUAGUCAGUACCUUGAGCUUUAGAAGACAAUGAAAAUUAUAGAUAUUAAGACACAGUUUUUCCUUUUCAAGCUUUUCUUUUAUUAAUUUUUUUAUAUGUGUAGAAUUAAUUUGAUUACAGAGAAUUAUGGAAAAUAACUGUGUUAGCCACAGUGCCUGUUCCAGGCCAGAGGAUGCUGGGCUGAGUGUGUGUUUGUGUGUGUGUGUGUGUGUGUGACAUUUUUUGCCCUGGGAAACUAGAGAAAGAAUCAUAUGGAAUUUAGAAAGAUGGUAACGAUGACCCUAUAUGUGAGACAGCAAAAGAGACACAGAUGUAAAGAACAGACUUUUGGACUCUGUGGGAGAAGGCGAGGGUGGGAUGAUUUGAGAGAAUAACGUUGAAACAGAUCGCCAGUCCAGGUCCGAUGCAUGAGACAGGGUGUUCAAGGGUGGUG